CAGCAUGAAAUAUAACACACAGUUACAGCCUUCAAAUAUUUACAGGACAAGACAAACUAUGAGAAACAAGUGCAGGUCAUUGAGUUAGUCUGCAGCACUUUGAGUUUGGAUUUAAAAGCAUUUAAGGAGAUCAGUUCAGUCCGUUUCCAGUGUUUUAGCCACAUAUU